rnacentral:rRNA from 1 species
AUUGCCCCAGUAACGGCGAGUGAAGCGGCAACAGCUCAAAUUUGAAAUCUGGCCCCCCCGCGGGGUCCGAGUUGUAAUUUGAAGAGGAUGCUUCUGGCAAGGUGCCUUCCGAGUUCCCUGGAACGGGACGCCGCAGAGGGUGAGAGCCCCGUACGGUAGGACGCCGAGCCUCUGUGAAGCUCCUUCGACGAGUCGAGUAGUUUGGGAAUGCUGCUCAAAAUGGGAGGUAAACCCCUUCUAAAGCUAAAUACCGGCCAGAGACCGAUAGCGCACAAGUAGAGUGAUCGAAAGAUGAAAAGCACUUUGAAAAGAGAGUUAAAAAGCACGUGAAAUUGUUGAAAGGGAAGCGCUUGCGACCAGACUCGCGCCCGUCGGAUCAGCCGUCGCUCGCGGCGGUGCACUCCGGCGGGCUCGGGCCAGCAUCAGUUCGUUGGGGGGGAGAAAGGCGGCGGGAAUGUGGCUCUACGGAGUGUUAUAGCCCGCCGUGUAAUACCCCCUGGCGGACUGAGGACCGCGCGUAUGCAAGGAUGCUGGCGUAAUGGUCGUCAGCGACCCGUCUUGAAACACGGACCAAGGAGUCGUCCUAAUAUGCGAGUGUACGGGUGUCAAACCCCUGCGCGUAAUGAAAGUGAACGGAGGUGAGAGCUUCGGCGCAUCAUCGACCGAUCCUGAUGUUCUCGGAUGGAUUUGAGUAAGAGCAUAUUGGGCCGGACCCGAAAGAAGGUGAACUAUGCCUGUGUAGGGUAAAGCCAGAGGAAACUCUGGUGGAGGCUCGCAGCGGUUCUGACGUGCAAAUCGAUCGUCAAACAUGGGCAUGGGGGCGAAAGACUAAU